UACGUAGGUGACAAGCGUUAUCCGGAUUUACUGGGUGUGAAGGGAGCGCAGACGGUCAUGCAAGUCUGAAGUGAAACCCUACGGCUCAACCGUGGGCUUGCUUUGGAAACUGCGUGACUAGAGUGCUGGAGAGGUAAGCGGAAUUCCUAGUGUAGCGGUGAAAUGCGUAGAUAUUAGGAGGAACAUCGGUGGCGAAGGCGGCUUACUGGACAGCAACUGACGUUGAGGCUCGAAGGCGUGGGGAGCAAAC
rnacentral:rRNA from 1 species